GCUGAAAAGACGCCAUGUUGUUAUUGCGCUGACUCGCCUCGGAUUUUUUAAAAUAAGUUUGCAACACUCGCUCGUAUUUUAUAAAAAUAACGUAGGAGGGGAUAUUUUUCGAUCGGGAAUUUGCUGUGGUGUUGCCUGCGAGGACCUUUGUGGCGAAACGCGGCAUGCGGUUUUCUGAACCUGCCGGUGAUGAGCUUCUCUUCAUCGUGCUGCCCGCGCAACUGGAUAAAAGUGAAGCAGCUGGAAGUUUAGUUUGGUAUAUUGAUGUCCAAUUAUUAAUUUUAAUACGCAUUCAUUGUAUAGAGAUACUGGAACCUACAGAUUGGUGAGAUCCUGAAUUGCUGGCCUGCUUUAAAAUGGAGUCACAGGUAAAAAUAUUUUUCUUAUCCCACUUGAAAAUGUUUUAUAUUUAAAGGGAUAGUUCACCUAAAAAUGAACAUUCUGUCAUUAAUUACUCCGCCUCAUGUCGUUCCAAACCUGUAAGACCUUCGUUCAUCUUCAGAACACAAAUUAAGAUAUUUUUGAUGAAAUCUGAGAGCUUUCUAACCCUGCAUAGACAGCAGUGUAAUGUUAUAAUGUGCUGUCUGUAUCUGCUUUUAAACUUACAAAUUGGUGGCACCUGUUGACUUGAAGUUUAUGAAUCAUCAAGGAACACGACUUCAGUUAAAAAUCAUCUUUAGUGUUCUACUAAAGAAAGAAAGUAGCUUAAAUCUUGGUUGGCUGAAGGGUGAGUAAACGUCAACCUGAAGAACCAGAAAUAAGUUGAUCCGACAGGAAAAGUGUCUGAAGUACUGAGUCAGCUCUUCAGGAUAUGUGACACUUCAGGUGAGUGGUUACUCUUCUUAAUGGCUGAUAGGGUUGAUUUUGAGUGAUUUCGGUUGUGUUGUUAUACAUAUACAGACGUUUUAGGGUGACGCAUAGUAUUGUGUGGCUAUGCUGAUUAGAUUCCAUGUUAAAUCAAGAUUCUCAUACUCAAGUCUCUAAUUCUCACUCUGAAGGAAAUAUUAACAUCCAUGCUGCUGUCAAUGAUGUCCAUGAUGAGCUGCUGUCCUCCGUGCUCCCUCCGCCUAUCUGCUUGAGGAUGACUCCAACGUUCUCAAGAUGGGGGAUAACAAUCUGAUGAUGAACCAGACGCUGAAGAUUUAUCACUUCGUCUUCUCUCCAUUAGUGACAAUUCAACAGUUGCCAUGUUCUUCUGCUCAGAGAAGACUGAAGUUGCACUUUGGGUAACAUAGUUAACGAUUUCCCCAUGUUGGCUCAUGCAUUUGUCAUGCUUUUUGGACUAACUUACGCCUUGGAUCUAAGUUCCCCAAAAGAGUUGGACAAUACAUUUGACUUUACCCGGAAAGUCUUGAUGGGUCUGGAGGAUGGGAAGCGGAGACCCAGAGCAUUGAGUCUUAAAAAUGAACUUUUGUCAGUAGAGUUUCCUCAGUGUUUUAACAAAGGUACUCCUUUAUUUGACAUUUCAUUUAAACUUUCACUUCUGUCACUUUUAGUGAAUUGUGUAUUUUAUUUUUUCUAGUAUUGAAUUUUCAGAACAUUUUCUCAGUUGGUUUUUCUGGAAUGGUGUACAUUCCAUAUACAGUACCAUGUUCAUCCACUCAUAGAAAUGACAGUUUAAAAAAAAAAAAAUACAUUGCUCUAUUUUGAAAUCUUUCUCGUAUAUUCUAUUCUUGUAUAACUUUUAUAUUUCUAAAGUUACUGUUAGAGGUGAAUUUUGGAAGUGUUCCUAUUUUAGGGAAGUGUUUACAGCUGAGUGAUAUCCAGAUAUCCAUAUUGUCCACUUCUAAAAGUGACAGUUACUAUCUCAGCUCAUUUUUCAAGGACCUUGCACUGUUUUGGAGAAUGUAUUUCCAGUUGAUGUUGAACAAUUUAAUGUUGAUGUUUUGUUUAAUGA